UAAAGGUCGAACGGGGAGAUUCAGUAUCCAGUCCUCACUGCCGCUUCGCGCCGCCGGGUAUAACUUGGGAUCGCCCCUCGGGGUGGUCCCGGGCCCGCGGCACGUCUCGCGCGCGGGAGGUGGAGCGCACUUCUCCCCUAGUAGGACGCCGCGACCCGCUGGGUGUCGGUCUGAGGUCCGGGUGCGAGCCCGGGACCGCGGUUCGCCGCGGUCCCGGAGCCCCGGUGUCCCGACCGACUGCCCGGCGGUAGAACGUAAGGAAUCGGCCCGCGGGACCUCUCGGUCACGCGCCCGUGCCUCUUGCGAGCGUCCGGUCGCGUUUCCCGUUGUGCGGACUUGUCCGCCGCGGGCCGGCCGGCGUUGUCGGCUUGAGGAUUUCUCGGGCAGCGGCCUUCUCCUGUUUGCGGCGCUCACAACUGGGCGGCCCACCCGGCCCGUCUUGAAACACGGACCAAGGAGUCUAACAUGUGCGCGAGUCAUUGGGUCCCACUACACCCAAGGGCGUAUUGAACGAAAAGGCAGGCCUUUGCGCCGGCCGAGGGAAGAUGGGGUGGCGCUCGCGUCGCCCCCGCAUUCCCGGGGCGUCUCGUCCUACCGCCGCUCGUCGGCGGAAGGUGAGGCGCACCAAGAGCGCACACGUUGGGACCCGAAAGAUGGUGAACUAUGCCUGGCCAGGACGAAGUCAGGGGAAACCCUGAUGGAGGUCCGUAGCGAUUCUGACGUGC
rnacentral:rRNA from 1 species